GAUGAAGAACGUAGUUAAAUGCGAUAAUUAAUGUGAAUUGCAGAAUUCAGUGAAUCAUCGAGUCUUUGAACGCACAUUGCGCCCCCUGGUAUUCCGGGGGGCAUGCCUGUCCGAGCGUCAUUGCUGCCCUCAAGCACGGCUUGUGUGUUGGGCUUCCGUCCCUGGCAACGGGGACGGGCCCAAAAGGCAGUGGCGGCACCAUGUCUGGUCCUCGAGCGUAUGGGGCUUUGUCACCCGCUCCCGUAGGUCCAGCUGGCAGCUAGCCUCGCAACCAAUCUUUUUAACCAGGUUGACCUCGGAUCAGGUAGGGAUACCCGCUGAACUUAAGCAUAUCAAUAAGCGGAGGA
rnacentral:misc_RNA from 1 species